rnacentral:rRNA from 1 species
UACGUAGGGCGCAAGCGUUAUCCGGAAUUAUUGGGCGUAAAGAGCUCGUAGGCGGUUUGUCGCGUCUGCCGUGAAAGUCCGGGGCUCAACUCCGGAUCUGCGGUGGGUACGGGCAGACUAGAGUGAUGUAGGGGAGACUGGAAUUCCUGGUGUAGCGGUGAAAUGCGCAGAUAUCAGGAGGAACACCGAUGGCGAAGGCAGGUCUCUGGGCAUUAACUGACGCUGGAGGAAGCGGAAAGCAUAGGG